ACAUAACGAUUGUAAUAAACAUAACGAAUGUAAUAGUAGCUACAUAGGGAAAGACUUAUCCAAUCCCAUUUGUGACAAGUUAACCGAUUUUAUUUACACUAGCAACAACGAAAUAACACAUAAUAGUAUUACUCCCACAAAUUCAACAAACAAAUUAUUUUCCCAAAAAAAAAAUAAUUUCCAAAAAAUAUAUAAAACUGAGGUGAAUAAAAUAAAACGUAAAAAAUUAGCAACAAAAUGUGCUAUUGCACAUAUCGAAAAAAAAAAUAAAUAACAUUCAGAGUAAAAACAAAAAAUUAAAUACCUUACUCUGGGAAAAAAAAAAAAAAAAAAAAAGUUCAAAAACGGAAAGAGAAAAAGAUAUAAUACAAAAUUUUAUGUUAAAAAUGGCACAAUAUGAAGAUAAAAAAAAAAAAAAAUUGGAAAGAUAUAAAAACAAAAUUCAAAAAAUUAAUAUAUACAAACAAGUACUACAUGCACAUUGGAAACAUAAAAAUCGUUUAUUAGUGUUAAAAAAAAAUGAAGAGCAAAAAAAAUAUAACAAUUACUCAAGCUUGUCAUCAUUUUUGUCAUACAGUGGAAAUAUAGACAUAAUGGAUAAUAAAAAAAAUCGCCUUGAUAAUUUGUUACACAAUGAAAAAAAAAUAAAAAAUUAUCCACAUGUAUUACAAGUAGAAAAAACAAAUUUCGAAGAUAAUGUAGAAAAUAUUUUUAAAAAAAAAUUACAAACAUUUAAAAAAAACAAACAUGUACAGCUGUCUGGCGAUAAUACAGAAAGUGAAGAAGAAAAAAAAAAAAAAAAAAAAAAAAAAAAAAAAAAAAAAAAAAAAAAAAAAAAAAAAAAAAAAAAAAAAAAAAAAAAAAGUAUGUACACAGUGUUGAAUCAUCCGAAUUGUCUGUCACUAAAAAUGCAAAAAAAAAAAAUUAUACUGACAAAACGGACAACAAUUCUUCAAACAUUCUUUUAAAUUUGUUCGAAGAAUUACAAAAAAAUAAAGGCCAAAAAGAGAGAGGCCA
rnacentral:lncRNA from 1 species